AACGCACAUUGCGCCCUUUGGUAUUCCGAAGGGCAUGCCUGUUCGAGCGUCAUUAUAACCACUCAAGCCUUUGCUUGGUCUUGGGGUUCCCGGCUUCGGGGCCCUUAAAAUCAGUGGCGGUGCUUGUAAGCUCUACGCGUAGUAAUACUCCUCGCGUCUGACCCUUAUAAGUGCCCUGCCAGUAACCCCCAAUUUUUUACAGGUUGACCUCGGAUCUGGUAGGGAUACCCGCUGAACUUAA
rnacentral:misc_RNA from 1 species